UACGUAGGGUGCGAGCGUUGUCCGGAAUUACUGGGCGUAAAGGAGCUCGUAGGUGGUUUGUCGCGUUGUCCGUGAAAACUCACAACUCAAUUGUGGGCGUGCGGGCGAUACGGGCAGACUGGAGUACUGCAGGGGAGACUGGAAUUCCUGGUGUAGCGGUGAAAUGCGCAGAUAUCAGGAGGAACACCGGUGGCGAAGGCGGGUCUCUGGGCCGUAACUGACGCUGAGGAGCGAAAGCAUGGGGAGCGAACAGG
rnacentral:rRNA from 1 species